rnacentral:lncRNA from 1 species
AAAAAAAAUUUUACCAAACCAACUAAAUGUCAAUUUUUAUCCUUUUAACCAAACAAAUGUUAAUAAAAAAUAAUUUUUUUCCUACAAAACGUAAAAAAAAAAUUUUCACCGAAAAUUUUUUUCACAAAAAAAUAUUUUUUUAUUAUUUUACGUUAAACCAAACAGACAACGAGGACCGUAAAAAUGAUUCCCCUUAUCUCUUGCAUAGAUCUUAUAAAUAGACAAAUUGGGCAAUCCGCAGAAGGAUUAUUAAACUCGCGGAUUAUGUCGACGCAUGUAAAAUUUAUCAGCAAAUUUAUGUGGGUGGGUAGGAGGGUUUACGAGUUAUCUA